rnacentral:rRNA from 1 species
UACGUAGGGGGCAAGCGUUGUCCGGAUUUAUUGGGCGUAAAGAGCGUGUAGGCGGCCUGAAAGGUCAGCUGUGAAAACUCGAGGCUCAACCUCGAGACGUCGGUUGAAACCAUCUGGCUAGAGUCCGGAAGAGGAGUGUGGAAUUCCCGGUGUAGCGGUGAAAUGCGCAGAUAUCGGGAAGAACACCCGUGGCGAAGGCGGCACUCUGGGACGGUACUGACGCUGAGACGCGGAAGCGUGGGGAGCGAACAGG